rnacentral:rRNA from 1 species
CAGUAGCCACGGUAAUACGUAGGGCGCAAGCGUUAUCCGGAAUUAUUGGGCGUAAAGAGCUCGUAGGCGGUUUGUCGCGUCUGCCGUGAAAGUCCGGGGCUCAACCCCGGAUCUGCGGUGGGUACGGGCAGACUAGAGUGAUGUAGGGGAGACUGGAAUUCCUGGUGUAGCGGUGAAAUGCGCAGAUAUCAGGAGGAACACCGAUGGCGAAGGCAGGUCUCUGGGCAUUAACUGACGCUGAGGAGCGAAAGCAUGGGGAGCGAACAGGAUUAGAUACCCGUGUAGUCCCUGUCUCUUAUAC